UGCUGCACCUUCAUAUAUCCUCGAUAAUAGGGUUCGAGAGUCUCUACCGGGAUGCCGUAAAUAUCCUGACUAUGAAGGCGGAU
rnacentral:ncRNA from 1 species